AGCAAUUCUCCCACUUCAGCCUCCAAAGUAGCUGGGACCACAGGAGGGCACUGUAUUGCCAGGUCCCUGGAUGUGGUGUGAAGACUGUUCUCUACAAAACUCUAGAAGGCACGAUUUUCAUCAGAUUCACAGCCAGCGUGGCCAUACGCAGUAAGCCUGUAUUAGAUAGAGACGGUGUCUCCCGUCAGGGCAAAGACUUGGUGCUUUUGGUUGCAUAUACCUUAUAAAAGAUUUGGGUUUCCAAAGAUCAGAAUUCUUUGACUGUGAAACAAACUCACUGUGUG